AAUUUUGGCUGGUACGGUUCCGUUCUGUUCCGCCUUGGCGCCCUUGGCCGCGGGGGCAAUGUUUUUGUUUUCGUUCUACGUUCAGGUGUUGAGUGGCAACGUAUUAACCGUCGAUAACCAGCUGAAGCAGCUCAAGUUCUCGAGUGGAACGAGGUUGACCGUGCGCAGUGGCAGCCGUUGACAACAAAAACAAUGUAUGCACUAAGUUUCGCCGGAUGAGUGCCGGCGUCGAUCGCGAACCGCCAGAGCCGCCAAAUACGAAUACCAAGAACAGGAGGUAUUCGUAAAGGUCUGAACCACGCGAGGAUCGUCUCGAAGCAUGGUAGCCUCAACAGACGCUUGCCGCCACACGCGAGGAGAAAGCAGGAGGCCCGAAGUUUGAAUGUGAAGAGGAGGUGCGAAGAGCUGGCCCUCACUUUUUCAAGGCAGCCGCAGAACACUACGAGCCCCGAAUCACUGCCGCGGCUGACUCACGCGGAUGCUGUGCUGCACCCUGCACUGCACAUGGUUCGAAGCACACUUCAGGGGACCAGUGCAUGCCCCUGAUGCAUCGUCGCGGUCCCGGGGAUCAUGGCAUCGAUGAGCUCGCUUUCGCCUUGUCCAAGGUAGCAGCGGAACACUACGGGCAGGCCCGGAGUCACCGCACCGGCUGGCUCACGGGCGUCGUCCUGUACUACAGUACCGGCCAAGCAGAGGGUCACUGCAUGACCUUUAUGAGGCGUCGCUAGCCAUUGUAAGUAUAUUUUGGACGCUCGUGUCAGGGGAUGUACUUUUGUGUUCUACAACAGAACAUGUUUGGUGGCGGUUCAGUCUUGCCAAUUCAGCCAUUUCGAAACAUAAUUUUGUGGCGACUUGGCUUAGGUUUUCUGGCUCGGCCGUCUUUUGCACCAGUGUCUAGGCUCGGCGUAAGCCUCUUUGUUCUUUAUUGUCAAGGCUAGUGUAAUUUCUGCUACGCCGUCGAAGCAACUUCUGCAUGCGAACAAGAUGCAAGACGAAGCUACAUGCUCGUGCACAGUGCAUGACCACAUGUGAAAACUAAUAGAGAGUUUGUUUCGCUGCAAUCGUGCCCAUGCGCACCCACUUGCAACAUGAAGUGAGUUUGUUUCGCCGCCGGCACUCCACACGUGCAUGCGCUCGCUGCGCCCUGAGAAUUAAGUGUGUACCUGAAUGCACUCCCGUCAUGCAUCACUUAGGCAGGGAACAAGAGCAGAUGACUGGUUUGUCCACCAUGCGGGACAGUAGAACUGCAGAAAAAGUGAACUUUCUGCUAAAAAAAUGACGUCCCACGAGCAACAAAAUCGGACACGAGCUUGAAUUGUGUGUCUGCUAUUCUAUAAAGCAAGCAAUCCACAACCUGUGCUUAACUUGCAAGUUUUCAGUCAUUUUGUUGCUGUACAGACGUCCAUAUACACCGGUGGAUAAAGAAAGGUUCAGAACGAACAUCAGCCACCGCGAGAUAUCUCUCACCAUCCGUGCGGGGCUAAAGAGUUGGGACGUUAGUUGACAAAGCUUGCCCGGCAGAAACCUGCGACGCGUCCAGUCGGGAGCCGAGAAAGCUAAACUGUUUUUACCCGAGGCUUGGAUAAAAUCACAGUGUUUAAAAAGGAGCCAUGGAAUUUAUUUUGGGUGGGAUAAAUUAAUUUAGAUUCGUAUUUUGCUAAUACAGUUGAACCUUUCAAGAACGAAAUUCUCGCGGCAACGAAGAAAUCUGGCGGCCCCAGCGAACGUCCAUAGGGUUCAAUGCAUUUGCACCCUCUCAACAGCAAAGAGUUUUAAAAAGCAGUCCCGCAUUAACGAAAGUUUGAGGUAGUGAUCUGCCAUAGAGUUAUUCAAUGUGUCUACCAAGUUGGCAUUUUCAAAUUCCCUGAGUUUUUCAGGUUUCCUCUGAGUACUUUUGUGAAAUUCCCUGAGUGACACAGAACUUUGUUUUAGGUCAAGAUGGGCGGACACCAUGUCGCCACAUGCUGUCACUCUCUAAAAAGCAUGUCAUAAAAUAAAAUAACAACACAAUACAGUUUUGAUGAUAGCGAGUAACUUUUAUUAGAUUUAAAAAGAAAACAGAACGAAGUGGUUAGUAAAAUUGAUAGCGAAUAAAGUAUAAAAAAAGGUAAACUGAGGUUUACGUGACCCCCCCAGGUCUGGUCAUGUGACCUCGGGGGGGGGGGGUGUCGAGACCUGACGGCGACGCCGCUCAAGCCGGAAACGGGAGCAAUAACAGGGAAAGGAAAGGGUAAACAAACAUAAGGCGUUCAAAGUGCGAUUGCUCAACCCUUGUUGUCAAAACACUCCACCUAACAAAAUCUUUUUUUUUUUUUAUUUUUAUUUUGGGGCUAAGGAGUCGCACAGUGACAGCGGUGUUUGCACGCGACCGUUCCAACAGCGGGCACUCCCUGCCCUCCCCACGCGCGCAGGUGCCCUUCCCCUUGCUUUUGCCAUCCUCCACUUCUUUUGUUUUUAUUGGUUGCUUUUUUUAUUUUUUAUACAAUUGCUUUUUCGCUGCGCAUCCCCGCGUGCGUGUAUGCUGGGUUGGCGGUCUGCCAGCCUUGCAACCCGAGCUGUUUGCUCCCUGCCGGCGCAAUCCAACCUAUAGGGAGAAGCGAAGAACGGCCUUCGUUCGCUACAUCGAGUGUCCCCUCCAUGGGAGGUAUGGACAUUCGAUACAGAAAAACAAUGCAAUUUUCUAGGGGAUGUUUGAACUGUUUCAUAUAAACAAUAAUUCGAAAUACGGGUGUGAUAUAACCGGGUUCGACAGUAUGUUUGGCCGUCUCCCUUAAUUUCCAGAUACCUUCGUUCGUUUGGCACGUAUAUCCCCGAUGCUAGAAAGCGCCGACGUUGUGUUCGCGCUGAGAGUGUCCGACAGUGCACAUAAAUACACGUGCGAAGCCGUUUUUGCACCGUUUUUUUUUUCCCCAUAGAAAUGCAUUACCGGAAGUCAAUUUUCGACUGGUUGCUGUCUGCUUCAACUUGCGUCGGCACACUAGCACCACUUGAACCUCUAGCGUACAUUACAAUAACCCUACGCGAUCUGCAACAUUUUUUCGUCAAAUGAGCCAGUUUGGAACCGAGAAUUGUGAAAAAUGGAGCAGUACACUCGUCCGACAAGUUGGGCACAUACGUUUCCGACAAGCAUCGGCGCGGCCAUUGCUGUUUACAUUCGGUCAAAUAAUGAUGACAAUGGCAACUAGAUGCUUUUUUUUGGGGGUUGGUGAAAACAGCGUUUUGCUAGCCCAUCUGUUGGCAACUACCUAGGUACGUGACGACACCGCCUGCUGCUAUUUCGCCGUCCGCCGCGUGCACGCCGAGAUCGCUCGCGCCUUGUUUACUACCUUUCGUUUGGCCUGUCGGAAAGAUGCCGCCUCCCAUUAAAAAGUUUAAGUUUUUUGCACUUCAGGAGAACUCUGCGAUCACUGCCAAAGCCAGAAAGAAGUCUGAUAUUACAGAGGAGUUCAGUAUCCUUUGCUUCUUGCUUUGUACGAUUCUGAAAUCCAAGGACAGCAUCAUGAAAAGUAAUAGGUGUGCUUAGUUGUCCAUUUCUGCAGCAGCGAAAUUCUUGCGAGAACGAAAAACGUUUCCUUCCCCCGCGGUUUGGUUAUUACGGGUGUGAUGAUGUGACUUAAUGUGGAAAAGAAGUGCAAGUCAACCCAUGGAUCGGCCUGGAGGGAGAAACGAAGAAGAGAGAUUUUGGAGUGCGUGCUCAGAGGGCGUGAAAAGGACUGGCCGGGAGAUUGUGCAGAGAGCGGAACGACACGAUCGGCCAGGGCAAUCGGCGGCCUCCUACUGUCUGACCAGCAGCCUGUUCCAGCGAGGGCAGCGAAUAGAAACCUACGCUGCCCCCGGCUUCCUACAGCGGGAGCGCUUGGUGCGGUAACUCUGGGGCCGCCGACGGAAGCCAACCGCUCCCGCUCCUGACUUCCAGCCACAACCGUGGGCCGACAACGACAGCACAAGACACACUGCUGCACAGGGACUCAAAGACAUGCCCAAGAGAGGAGAGUGGGUGCUCAAGCAUAGGUCAACAUGCCUCAGUGCAUCAUGCUCUAGUCUUUAGCAUCUUCCAGACUUGCUUAUGUUAAUCGAAUGGAUUCACUAAACGGUGCUCCUUUGCAACCGAUUGUUGUAGGCUGCACCUACAACAAGCAGUUGUAAGUGCAGUACAUUCUAUUAGCAUAAAAUAAAGGCACACAGCCAAAUCACCUCAAUG